rnacentral:rRNA from 1 species
CGUUCGAGACUAGGACGUUGAUAGGUUGGAUGUGGAAGCAUAGUGAUAUGUGAAGCUGACCAAUACUAAUUGCUCGUGAGGCUUGACUAU